CAAUGCAACCCACAUCACUCAGGCUCAGCAAGCACUCUGAUUCCCAGUCCCCAGACAUCAGCUCACUGAUCAUCUCAAUACACUUGAUCAGCCACCACCUCCUUCAUCUCCGCACACAAUCCCACUGAUGGAAGGGGUUUCAAGACAAGCUGAGUCUUGAAAAAGAGACCUUCCAAUGAGUUAAAAUUGAAAAAAAUUGAAAAAUGAAAAUGAAAAUAGAAAAAUAAAUCAACUGGAGAGUAAAAAUUUCUACUGUUUGAAAUCACCAAUCACACACCACAGUGAAAGGCACAUAUGCAGAAAAACAGGGGUGCGGACACCCCAGCAGCCUCAAUCCCAGAGUCAAGCAGAGUAGCAUCACAAAGAAGCAACAUGGAGGGCUCAGAGGCCAGCCAAGUGGUAUCAGACAGCAGCUCAACAACUCCACAGGCAGGAUCAAGACAGGUGAGGGCUGGAUAAGACAGCACCAUCCCUGCAAGGGGGGAA
rnacentral:sRNA from 1 species